GACGAACGCUGGCGGCGUGCCUAAUACAUGCAAGUCGAACGCUUCUUUUUCCACCGGAGCUUGCUACACCGGAAAAAGAGGAGUGGCGAACGGGUGAGUAACACGUGGGUAACCUGCCCAUCAGAAGGGGAUAACACUUGGAAACAGGUGCUAAUACCGUAUAACAAUCAAAACCGCAUGGUUUUGAUUUGAAAGGCGCUUUCGGGUGUCGCUGAUGGAUGGACCCGCGGUGCAUUAGCUAGUUGGUGAGGUAACGGCUCACCGAGGCCACGAUGCAGAGCCGACCGGAGAGGGUGAUCGGCCACAUUGGGACUGAGACACGGCCCAAACUCCUACGGGAGGCAGCAGUAGGGAAUCUUCGGCAAUGGACGAAAGUCUGACCGAGCAACGCCGCGUGAGUGAAGAAGGUUUUCGGAUCGUAAAACUCUGUUGUUAGAGAAGAACAAGGAUGAGAGUAACUGUUCAUCCCUUGACGGUAUCUAACCAGAAAGCCACGGCUAACUACGUGCCAGCCGCCGCCGUAA
rnacentral:rRNA from 1 species